rnacentral:lncRNA from 1 species
AGGCGUAUUCCCGUCCGUACGUGCGGGAUUAACCAAAAAUAACACCCCAAGGUACGACCGGAAUUUCUCUUCCUGCGAGCACGAUCGUGAAGGAGGUUGACGGAGACUCUUUCAACACCCAAUGAUAAAAAGAUCAAAACACAAUAAAAUAAAGAAUUUAAAUAAAGUUUCUACUUUCAUUUUUUCACUUAAAUUUCUCUCUCAGCACUGUUCAUUGAAGAUAACUAGUGCAAUCCAUUGUAUAUAUAAUGGAGAGAGAAUGACACGUUGGAAUUCCAACGUUCCCAACAUUAAUUCCACUUAAUUCAUGCCUUUAUGUGGAAGCGUGCGAGGCACUACCCUAAGGCAUAUUCCAGUCCUUACGUGCGGGAUUAACCGGAAAUAACACCCCAAGGUACGACCGGAAUUCCUUCUUCUGCGAGUACGAUCGUGAAGGAGGUUGACGGAGACUCUUUCAACACCCAAUGAUAAAAAGAUCAAAACACAAUAAAAUAAAAAAUUUAAAUAAAGUUUCUACUUUCAUUUUUUCACUUAAAUUUCUCUCUCA